GCUUCGGCUGGGGUUGUAGGACACCGACACGCCAAGUAAUGUUGAGCCGAACGGCCUGGAAAGGCCGGCCGGAGGGGGUAACAGUCCCGUAGGCAAAGGACAUUAUUUGGCCCGGUGGAUCCUGAGUACGGCGGAACACGAGGAAUUCCGUCGGAAUCCGGGAGGCCCAUCUCCCAAGGCUAAAUACUCCUUAGUGACCGAUAGCGAACCAGUACCGUGAGGGAAAGGUGAAAAGCACCCCGGAAGGGGAGUGAAACAGAACCUGAAACCGUGUGCCUACAAGUAGUCAGAGCCCGUUAAUGGGUGAUGGCGUGCCUUUUGUAGAAUGAACCGGCGAGUUGUGAUCUCAUGCAAGGUUAAGCAGCGAAUGCGGAGCCGCAGCGAAAGCGAGUCUGAAGAGGGCGUACGAGUAUGGGGUUGCAGACCCGAAACCAGGUGAUCUACCCAUGUCCAGGCUGAAGUCCAGGUAACACUGGAUGGAGGGCCGAACCGACUUACGUUGAAAAGUGACCGGAUGAGGUGUGGGUAGCGGAGAAAUUCCAAUCGAACCUGGAGAUAGCUGGUUCUCUCCGAAAUAUAUUUAGGUAUAGCCUCAUGAGAGCAUCGUGGAGAUAGAGCACUGUUUGGACGAGGGGCCCAUCCCGGGUUACCGAAUUCAGACAAACUCCGAAUGCCAUCGAUGU
rnacentral:rRNA from 1 species